rnacentral:rRNA from 1 species
CAGUAGCCGCGGUAAUACGAAGGGUGCAAGCGUUACUCGGAAUUACUGGGCGUAAAGCGUGCGUAGGUGGUGGUUUAAGACCGUUGUGAAAGCCCUGGGCUCAACCUGGGAAUUGCAGUGGAUACUGGGUCACUAGAGUGUGGUAGAGGAUAGUGGAAUUUCCGGUGUAGCAGUGAAAUGCGUAGAGAUCGGAAGGAACAUCUGUGGCGAAGGCGACUAUCUGGGCCAACACUGACACUGAGGCACGAAAGCGUGGGGAGCAAACAGGAUUAGAUACCCCCGUAGUCCCUGUCUCUUAUAA